rnacentral:rRNA from 1 species
UUGGAGGGCAAGUCUGGUGCCAGCAGCCGCGGUAAUUCCAGCUCCAAUAGCGUAUAUUAAAGUUGUUGCAGUUAAAAAGCUCGUAGUUGAAUUUCGGGAUCAAUAUGUAGGUCGUGCCCUCGGUACGUACUUGCAUCAUUGAUUUCUCCCUUCUGAUGAACCAUGAUGCCAUUAAUUUGGUGUCUUGGGGAAUCAGGACUGUUACUUUGAAAAAAUUAGAGUGUUUAAAGCAGGCUCACGCUUGAAUACAUUAGCAUGGAAUAAUGAAAUAGGACGUUUGAUUCUAUUUUGUUGGUUUCUAGGAUCGACGUAAUGAUUAAUAGGGAUAGUUGGGGGCAUUAAUAUUCAAUUGUCAGAGGUGAAAUUCUUGGAUUUAUUGAAGACUAACUACUGCGAAAGCAUUUGCCAAGGAUGUUUUCAU